UCUUCUGUUUAAACUUUCAGAAAAUUCCUAACUGGAUCAGAGUCCUCAACCAGCAGGGUGAAAGAAACUCUGAAGAAAAACCAGGUCAUGCUGCAUGUUUUUGGUGAGCACAGGAAUCAACAAAGAGAUGUUAUAUAACUUCUAUUUAUAUCCUCCUUGCUCACUAUCUGCAGGCAGACAAGAGUCUCUGUGCUGUGAUUUAAUGAGCUCUCUGGGUUUGCUCACCUUCCUGAGCUGGUAGGAACCAGCUUGUUCUCAAAUGCGUCAGUAAAGAAUCUGGCUGUGGGUGGGCGGCCAGGGUAGGUGGACUGAGUUGUUACCAUGGUGUUUUUUAAUUCCCCUGUCUCUCAA
rnacentral:sRNA from 1 species